ensembl:ribozyme RNaseP_nuc Nuclear RNase P
GUGGGCGGAAGCUCAUUGUAGAGGUCACAUGCUGAGUGUUCGUCACUCCACCAAUCACCUCGGGGAAGGUCUGAGACAAGAGCCAAUCAUCACCCCUGCAGGGUGUCACCUGACUCAGGUGAGCGAGUGAACAGAAAGAAUGGGUCCGUCGGCAGGUCGUUGCAGGAGAAACUGGCAGGUGCAGCUCUCCAGCGCCCCAAGGUGGAUGUGACGCCGACCGACUUGGAAUCGCUCGCGGCUGGCAGAUGAGUGCGAUGUAUGAGGUGGGGCACAGCUCCAGAACCCAAUUCAGACUACUCUCCACCCAC